rnacentral:rRNA from 1 species
UACGAAGGGGGCUAGCGUUGUUCGGAAUUACUGGGCGUAAAGCGCACGUAGGCGGAUUCUUAAGUCGGUGGUGAAAGCCUGGAGCUCAACUCCAGAACUGCCUUCGAUACUGAGAGUCUUGAGUCCGGGAGAGGUGAGUGGAACUGCGAGUGUAGAGGUGAAAUUCGUAGAUAUUCGCAAGAACACCAGUGGCGAAGGCGGCUCACUGGCCCGGUACUGACGCUGAGGUGCGAAAGCGUGGGGAGCAAACAGG